rnacentral:rRNA from 1 species
GACGUAGGGCGCGAGCGUGUCCGGAUUUAUUGGGCGUAAAGAGCUCGUAGGCGGCUUGUUGCGUCAGCUGUGAAAACCCGCAGCUCAACUGUGGGCUUGCAGCUGAUACGGGCAGGCUUGAGUUCGGUAGGGGAGACUGGAAUUCCUGGUGUAGCGGUGAAAUGCGCAGAUAUCAGGAGGAACACCGGUGGCGAAGGCGG